GACGAACGCUGGCGGCGUGCCUAAUACAUGCAAGUCGAACGCUUCUUUCCUCCCGAGUGCUUGCACUCAAUUGGAAAGAGGAGUGGCGAACGGGUGAGUAACACGUGGGUAACCUACCCAUCAGAGGGGGAUAACACUUGGAAACAGGUGCUAAUACCGCAUAACAGUUUAUGCCGCAUGGCAUAAGAGUGAAAGGCGCUUUCGGGUGUCGUUGAUGGAUGGACCCGCGGUGCAUUAGCUAGUUGGUGAGGUAACGGCUCACCAAGGCCACGAUGCAUAGCCGACCUGAGAGGGUGAUCGGCCACACUGGGACUGAGACACGGCCCAGACUCCUACGGGAGGCAGCAGUAGGGAAUCUUCGGCAAUGGACGAAAGUCUGACCGAGCAACGCCGCGUGAGUGAAGAAGGUUUUCGGAUCGUAAAACUCUGUUGUUAGAGAAGAACAAGGACGUUAGUAACUGAACGUCCCCUGACGGUAUCUAACCAGAAAGCCACGGCUAACUACGUG
rnacentral:rRNA from 1 species